GACGAACGCUGGCGACGCGCUUAACACACGCAAGUCGAACGGAAAGGCCUGCUUUCCCUUGUGGAUUGCGGGUACUCGAGUGGCGAACGGGUGAGUAACACGUGAGUGAUCUGCCCCCAACUUGGGUAUAAGCCUGGGAAACUGGGUCUAAUUCCCGAUAGGACUGCAGGGUGGUGCCUGUGGUGGAAAACGAUUUUCUAGUGGUUGGGGAUGAGCUCGCGGCCUAUCAGCUUGUUGGUGGGGUAAUGGCCUACCAAGGCGGCGACGGGUAGCCGGCCUGAGAGGGUGGACGGCCACAUUGGGACUGAGAUACGGCCCAGACUCCUACGGGAGGCAGCAGUGGGGAAUAUUGCACAAUGGGCGGAAGCCUGAUGCAGCGACGCCGCGUGGGGGAUGACGGCCUUCGGGUUGUAAACUCCUUUCGACCGCGAGGAAGCCACCUGGUUGGAAGGGUGGUGACGGUAGUGGUAGAAGAAGCACCGGCUAACUACGUG
rnacentral:rRNA from 1 species